CAGGAGGGGCAAGCGUUGUUCGGAAUUACUGGGCGUAAAGGGCGCGUAGGCGGCCUGUUAAGUCGAACGUGAAAUCCCCGGGCUCAACCCGGGAACUGCGUCCGAUACUGGCAGGCUUGAAUCCGGGAGAGGGAUGCGGAAUUCCAGGUGUAGCGGUGAAAUGCGUAGAUAUCUGGAGGAACACCGGUGGCGAAGGCGGCAUCCUGGACCGGCAUUGACGCUGAGGCGCGAAAGCCAGGGGAGCAAACGGGAUUAGAUACCCCGGUAGUCCUGGCCCUAAACGAUGAAUGCUUGGUGUGGCGGGUAUCGAUCCCUGCCGUGCCGAAGCUAACGCAUUAAGCAUUCCGCCUGGGGAGUACGGUCGCAAGGCUG
rnacentral:rRNA from 1 species